CAGCUCGCCACGGCAGCAGCCAUUGGACACGGAGCUUUGCACGGAUUAGAAUGCGACGCAGGCGGCCCCGCGUACCAAAACAAGGAUUAGCGCUUUGGCGAAGGCGGUGCGAAGAAAAGAGAAAGCGCCAAGCAAGAACCCCCGUCAGUCUUACCUGUGGUCCGGAUCUCGGCGACGGGGGUCUUCUCAUGACAGAUUGAGCCUCAGUGGGACGCUUUUUUGCAUCACUCCAUGGACAAGAGUCAGUACUGAGAUCUGAGCCAGUAAACAAGCUCGGAAUCUGCCGUGUGACGACAGAAAGGUAACCUAGAUGAUACUGACCGGGAUCCAACCUACGAAACAGAAGAAGACGACAGUACCUCAGAUGGCUUAAGAGCCGGGAUACAGAGCAGUUAACUGCAGUUGAGAUGGUGAGACUUUGAAGACUGGGAUUUGGGGCAAAGUCAUGCAAUGCUCUGUCAUCCACAAGUAGCAGGCAAGGAUUGUUGUCUGAAUCCACAAUUCACAAAGAGCAGGACGAGGAAACUCACGCUUUGUUGUCUUAGUAGCAGAAUCCGUGAUAGCCACGGGGACAGGCAACCAAACAUGCUAAUAAGGCAGAACUCGUAGUCGCAGGUAAAAGGCAGAGGGGAUUCACCGGGAAGUGUUUUGCGUCUUGCAUGUACGAAUGUCGAACAAUCUGACAAUGAGUGAGUUGUCAACAAAGCCUUAAACGGGUGGGUGUGGCUGACUGGCAGAGGUGGGUGUGGCUUACCGUGGUUGACAGACUGUGACAGCGCCAGCAGUAUGAUCCAAUGUAAAUAUCCAAUAUGCCUCCCAAAAAACACAAUUUCUGUUAAAACAAGAAUGCAGAAGUCAGCAUUGCCAUAUAAAUCACCGAGAUAAAAAUCCCUCAGAUUUUAUUGCAGCCAUAAAAAUCGAAAUCACUCUCCUGCAGAAUGACAAAAAUAUAGUUAGCCCACUGUAGUUCAGUCUCUCGAUAUUGCAUUUUUUUUUUUCCCACCUAUUGCGGGUGUCUCCGGAACGUAUCUCCCGCAAUAAACGACGCUUCACUUUAAUGAUUUUUACUGCAUCGAAACGACAAAAAGCUCAUUAAAACACCAAUGGAGGACAUUCACAUUGGUGUAUACAACAUCAGGGCCGUCUCAAGUGUUUGGUAUACAGUCCACCUCUUCCUUCUCCUUCGU